rnacentral:rRNA from 1 species
UACGUAGGGCGCAAGCGUUAUCCGGAAUUAUUGGGCGUAAAGAGCUCGUAGGCGGUCUGUCGCGUCUGCUGUGAAAACUCAGGGCUUAACUCUGAGCUUGCAGUGGGUACGGGCAGACUAGAGUGCGGUAGGGGGAGACUGGAAUUCCUGGUGUAGCGGUGAAAUGCGCAGAUAUCAGGAGGAACACCGGUGGCGAAGGCGGGUCUCUGGGCCGAUACUGACGCUGAGGAGCGAAAGCGUGGGGAGCGAACAGG